AGGGAAUCUUCCACAAUGGACGCAAGUCUGAUGGAGCAACGCCGCGUGAGUGAAAAAGGUUUUCGGACCGUAAAGCUCUGUUGUUGGUGAAGAAGGAUAGAGGUAGUAACUGGCCUUUAUUUGACGGUAAUCAACCAGAAAGUCACGGCUAACUACGUGCCAGCAGCCGCGGUAAUACGUAGGUGGCAAGCGUUGUCCGGAUUUAUUGGGCGUAAAGCGAGCGCAGGCGGAAGAAUAAGUCUGAUGUGAAAGCCCUCGGCUUAACCGAGGAAUUGCAUCGGAAACUGUUUUCUUGAGUGCAGAAGAGGAGAGUAGAACUCCAUGUGUAGCGGUGGAUGCGUAGAUAUAUGGAAGAAUACCAGUGGCGAAGGCGGCUCUCUGGUCUGCAACUGACGCUGAGGCUCGAAAGCAUGGGUAGCGAACAGGAUUAGAUACCCUGGUAGUCCAUGCCGUAAACGAUGAGUGCUAAGUGUUGGGAGGCUUCCGCCUCUCAGUGCUGCAGCUAACGCAUUAAGCACUCCGCCUGGGGGAGUACGACCGCAAGGUUGAAACUCAAA
rnacentral:rRNA from 1 species